UGGAUGAGGAUGAAGCAAUAAACAUAAUAUAAUCCAACACUUGAUCUGAGACAUUCUUUGUCAAGUGACGCUAAACUGUUCGCUUCUGAAUCUGC
rnacentral:snoRNA from 1 species